rnacentral:rRNA from 1 species
UAGGGAAUCUUCGGCAAUGGACGAAAGUCUGACCGAGCAACGCCGCGUGAGUGAAGAAGGUUUUCGGAUCGUAAAACUCUGUUGUUAGAGAAGAACAAGGACGUUAGUAACUGAACGUCCCCUGACGGUAUCUAACCAGAAAGCCACGGCUAACUACGUGCCAGCAGCCGCGGUAAUACGUAGGUGGCAAGCGUUGUCCGGAUUUAUUGGGCGUAAAGCGAGCGCAGGCGGUUUCUUAAGUCUGGUGUGAAAGCCCCCGGCUCAACCGGGGAGGGUCAUUGGAAACUGGGAGACUUGAGUGCAGAAGAGGAGAGUGGAAUUCCAUGUGUAGCGGUGAAAUGCGUAGUUAUAUGGAGGAACACCAGUGGCGAAGGCGGCUCUCUGGACUGUAACUGACGCUGAGGCUCGAAGGCGUGGGGGGCAAACAGG